AUUGAACGCUGGCGGCAGGCCUAACACAUGCAAGUCGAGCGAGCGGCGGACGGGUGAGUAAUGUCUGGGAAACUGCCUGAUUGCGGGGGAUAACUACUGGAAACGGUAGCUAAUACCGCACACCAUCAUAUUUUCCCCGGUGGGAUUAGCUAGUAGGUGGGGUAACGGCUCACCUAGUCAACGAGCCCGAGCUGGUAUGAACGGAUGACCAGCCAAACUGGAACUGAGACACGGUCCAGCCUCCUACGUGAGGCAGCAGUGGGGAAUAUUGCACAAUGGGCGCAAGCCUGAUGCAGCCAUGCCGAGUGUGUGAAGAAGGCCUUCGGGUUGUAAAGCACUUUCAGCGGGGAGGCGUUACCCGCAGAAGAAGCACCGGCUAACUCCGUGCCAGCAGCCGCGGUAAUAC
rnacentral:rRNA from 1 species